AUAGUGCUAGAUCUUCCCAAUCUAGGCAUAUGGCUUAUAAUAACUGGAUUGUGUGUUUUUUAUACAGGCUUAUUGGAGUUGGAAAUUCCAGCAACACAGUAUGGAUAUUUGGAAAAGAAAACUUACUCCAGACUUCAUACCACACAAGAGAAACAACUACCAUUGGAUCAGACAUGUACAUGUAAAAAAUGAAAACAUACAGAUGCUAAAAGGGUCAUGGCCACUAGUUAGGACUCAACAUCCAGAGGCAAUAAAGGAUACCUGCUUACAUAAAGAAGCCCAGCCCAUUCCUAUGACUAUUUGGCUACAACAAUCACCUCACGUUGGCGUUGGCUCCACUCUCCAGAAGAAACUUGACCAUCUGCUGGUGGCCGGCACUGGUACAGUGGAAGAGCGCAGUCCAGCCCUGGAUGUCUUUCAUCUCAAGCUCCGCACCUUGCUUCAAGAGAAUAAACUGUGGGUUAUGUGCCAA